AUGAUCCUUUUAUAUUCUGGCAAAAUGCAGGCUGUUCUUGAGAAACAAAGUUAUAUUCUCCUCUCACGGAGUGAUGUUGAAAGUUUAAUGCGUCUGGACCCUGCAAAUGCUUCUUUGCAAAAGUCUUUUGGUCAACUUGAUAACGACAUUCCAGAUGCAGGAAUUGAAGUGGAGAUUGAACUAAGUGAUCUCCUAUUGGAUAUGUGCCCGAUAAAACAGCCCUGA
rnacentral:rRNA from 1 species